CCUUCCUACGGGAGGCAGCAGUGGGGAAUAUUGCACAAUGGGCGCAAGCCUGAUGCAGCCAUGCCGCGUGUAUGAAGAAGGCCUUCGGGUUGUAAAGUACUUUCAGCGGGGAGGAAGGUGUUAGUUUAAUUUCCGCAGAAAUGACGUAGCCGAAGAAGAAGUCCCUUUGGC
rnacentral:rRNA from 1 species